AAGGAUUUAGGUUAAACAAACCUUUAACCUUCAAAGUUAAAAAUAGGGUAAAUUCUCUAAGCCUUA
rnacentral:tRNA from 3 species